rnacentral:rRNA from 1 species
AUUGAACGCUGGCGGAAUGCUUUACACAUGCAAGUCGAACGGCAGCACGGGGGCAGCCCUGGUGGCGAGUGGCGAACGGGUGAGUAAUACAUCGGAACGUGCCCGGUCGUGGGGGAUAACGUAGCGAAAGUUACGCUAAUACCGCAUACGAUCUGAGGAUGAAAGCGGGGGACCUUCGGGCCUCGCGCGAUCGGAGCGGCCGAUGUCAGAUUAGGUAGUUGGUGGGGUAAAGGCCUCCCAAGCCGACGAUCGGUAGCUGGUCUGAGAGGACGACCAGCAAACCGGGGCCUAGACACCGGCCAGACCCCCACGGGAGGCCGCAGGGGGGAAUUUUGGGCCAAGGGGCGAAGCCUUAUUCAGCCCAUCCGCGGGGGGGGAGAAGGGCCUUCGGGUUGAAAACUGUUUUUGUAGGGAAGAAAAGGGCUCUGGCUAACCCCGGGGGUUUCUGCCGGUACCAAAAAAAAAGGCCCCGCCUACCUCGUG